ACAAACUUGGUCAUUUAGAGGAAGUAAAAGUCGUAACAAGGUUUCCGUAGGUGAACCUGCGGAAGGAUCAUUAUUGAACAAUGUUUCUGGAUGGGUUGUAGCUGGCUCUUCUCUGGGGGAGCAUGUGCACACCUGUUUGGACUUCAUUUUCAUCCACCUGUGCACCUUUUGUAGUCUUUGGUUGUUGGAAAUUGAGGAAGUGGUCACUUAUUUCAUCAGCAGUCAUCUGCUGGAUGUGUGAGGACUUGCAGUGGCGAAAGCUCCUGCUGUCUUUGACUUGGCCGUGGAAUUGGUUUCUGGCUCCUGAGUCUAUGUUAUACACUACACCAUAUAGAAUGUCAUUGAAUGUCUUUACAUGGGCUUUCUAUGCCUAUGAAAAUCAUUAUACAACUUUCAGCAACGGAUCUCUUGGCUCUCGCAUCGAUGAAGAACGCAGC
rnacentral:misc_RNA from 1 species